UACAGGUUGAUAUUCCUGUACCGCCAAUAAGCGUUUGAGAGAUGGAGUGACACAGUAGGAUAAGCUAACCGUACUGUUGGUUAUGUACGGCUAAGCAUUGAGGCAGUCUAAAUAGGCAAAUCCGUUUAGACAAUGCUAGGAUGUGAUGGGGAAGCCCUCCGGGGCGAAGUAGCUGAUUUCACACUGUCAAGAAAAGCUUCUAUCGAGUUUAAAGGCGCCCGUACCGUAAACCGACACAGGUGGGUGAGGAGAGUAUCCUAAGGCCAGCGAGAGAACUAUUGUUAAGGAACUCGGCAAAAUGACCCCGUAACUUAGGGAGAAGGGGUGCCUGUCUAUGACAGGCCGCAGAGAAUAGGCCCAAGCGACUGUUUACCAAAAACACAGGUUUCUGCUAAGUCGCAAGACGAUGUAUAGGAGCUGACGCCUGCCCGGUGCUGGAAGGUUAAGGGGAUCUGUUAGAGCAAUCGAAGCAGUGAACUUAAGCCCCAGUAAACGGCGGCCGUAACGAUAACGGUCCUAAGGUAGCGAAAUUCCUUGUCGGGUAAGUUCCGACCCGCACGAAAGGCGUAACGAUUUGGGCACUGUCUCAACAAUAGACUCGGUGAAAUUGUAAUCCCGGUGAAGAUGCCGGGUACCUGCGACAGGACGGAAAGACCCCACGGAGCUUUACUGUAGCUUGACGUUGGGUCUUGGUACUACAUGUACAGGAUAGGUGGGAGACUAUGAAGCAUGGACGCCAGUCUGUGUGGAGUCAUCCUUGGGAUACCACCCUUGUAGUACUGGGAUCCUAACCAUAGGCCUUGAAUCAGGUCUUGGAACACCGUCAGGUGGGCAGUUUGACUGGGGCGGUCGCCUCCUAAAAAGUAACGGAGGCGCUCAAAGGUUUCCUCAGCACGGUCGGAAAUCGUGCGAAGAGUGUAAAGGCAAAAGGAAGCUUGAUUGCAAGACAUACAGGUCGAGCAAGGACGAAAGUCGGACUUAGUGAUCCGGUGGUACCGCAUGGAAGGGCCAUCGCUCAACGGAUAAAAGCUACCCUGGGGAUAACAGGCUUAUCUCCCCCAAGAGUCCACAUCGAAGGGGAGGUUUGGCACCUCGAUGUCGGCUCAUCACAUCCUGGGGCUGUAGUAGGUCCCAAGGGUUGGGCUGUUCGCCCAUUAAAGUGGUACGCGAGCUGGGUUCAGAACGUCGUGAGACAGUUCGGUCCCUAUCCGUCGCAGGCGUAGGAAAUUUGAGAAGACCUGUCCUUAGUACGAGAGGACCGGGAUGGACGUACCUCUGGUGUACCAGUUGUUCUGCCAAGGGCAUGGCUGGGUAGCUAUGUACGGAAUGGAUAAGCGCUGAAAGCAUCUAAGCGCGAAGCCAACUUCAAGAUAAGAUUUCCCACCGUAAGGGUAAGACCCCAGGAAGACUACCUGGUUGAUAGGUCGAAGGUGUAAGUGCAGUAAUGUAUUUAGCUUAUCGAUACUAAUAGGUCGAGGACUUGACCU
rnacentral:rRNA from 1 species